rnacentral:rRNA from 1 species
GACGAACGCUGGCGGCGUGCUUAACACAUGCAAGUCGAACGGUAAGGCCCUUCGGGGUACACGAGUGGCGAACGGGUGAGUAACACGUGGGUGAUCUGCCCUGCACUUCGGGAUAAGCCUGGGAAACUGGGUCUAAUACCGGAUAGGACUCCUGCCUGCAUGGGUGGGGGUGGAAAGCUUUUGCGGUGUGGGAUGGGCCCGCGGCCUAUCAGCUUGUUGGUGGGGUGAUGGCCUACCAAGGCGACGACGGGUAGCCGGCCUGAGAGGGUGACCGGCCACACUGGGACUGAGAUACGGCCUAGACUCCUACGGGAGGCGGCAGUGGGGAAUAUUGCACAAUGGGCGCAAGCCUGAUGCAGCGACGCCGCGUGAGGGAUGACGGCCUUCGGGUUGUAAACCUCUUUCAGCACAGACGAAGCGCAAGUGACGGUAUGUGCAGAAGAAGGACCGGCCAACUACGUGCCAGCCGCCGCCGUAA